rnacentral:rRNA from 1 species
UACGGAGGGUGCGAGCGUUGUUCGGAAUCACUGGGCGUAAAGCGUGCGCAGGCGGUUUUGUAAGCCAGAUGUGAAAUCCCCGGGCUUAACCUGGGAAUGGCAUUUGGGACUGCAAGGCUGGAGUGCGGCAGAGGAGACUGGAAUUCCCGGUGUAGCAGUGAAAUGCGUAGAUAUCGGGAGGAAUACCGAUGGCGAAGGCAGGUCUCUGGGCUGACACUGACGCUCAUGCACGAAAGCGUGGGGAGCAAACAGG